rnacentral:rRNA from 1 species
AGCAGUUUGGAAUUUUGGACAAUGGGCGAAAGCCUGAUCCAGCGACGCCGCGUGGACGAAGACGGCCUUCGGGUUGUAAAGUCCUUUUAGCAGGGAACAAUUUUUGAGCGUACCUGCAGAAUAAGAGGUUGCUAACUCUGUGCCAGCAGCAGCGGUAAUACAGAGACCUCAAGCGUUAUCCGGAAUCAUUGGGCGUAAAGCGUACCGAUAGGUGGUUAUACAAGUCAGAAGUGAAAUCUCCGAGCUCAACUCGGAAUCUGUCUUUUGAAACUGUAUGACUAGAGGGGCAAAGAGGAAGCUGGAACGAACGGUGUAGUAGUGAAAUGCGUUGAUAUCGUUCGGAACACCAAUAGCGAAGGCGGGCUUCUGGGUGCCACCUGACACUGCUAGGACGAAAGCGUGGGGAGCGAAUGGGAUUAGAUACCCCAGUAGUCCACGCUGUAAACGAUGUACAUUCGGCGCUAGAGAGUAUCGACCCUCUUUAGUGCCAAAGCUAACGCGUUAAAUGUACCGCCUGGGGAGUACGGCCGCAAGGCUAAAACUCAAAGGAAUUGACGGGGACCCGCACAAGCGGUGGAGCAUGUGGUUUAAUUCGACGAUAAGCGGGGAACCUUACCAGGUCUUGACAUGCAGCUGCACAUUCUAUGAAAGUAGAACUUCUUCGAGAGUGCUGCACAGGUGCUGCACGGUUGUCGUCAGCUCGUGCCGUGAGGUGUUCACUUAAGUGUGAAAACGAGCGCAACCCCUAUCGUGUGUUACAAGUGUCACACGAAACUGCCGGCGUCUAAGCCGGAGGAAGGCGGGGAUGACGUCAAAUCAGCGUGGCUCUUACGACCUGGGCCACACACGUGCUACAAUGGGAAAGUACAAAGGGACGCCAAGGAGCAAUCCGGAGCAAAUCCUAUUAAAAUUUCUCUCAGUUCGGAUUGAGGGCUGCAACUCGCCCUCAUGAAGCUGGAAUCGCUAGUAACCGUAGAUCAGCCUCGCUACGGUGAAUACGUUCUCGGGUU